CUUAAUUCUCUUGAUCUCCAGCAGUUGUCAGCUGAUAUUGAUUCACGACUGCUGUCCAUCCCUUCCCUAUCCUGUUCUUCACUGGCCAUCUCCGCAUAUAACACAACACAAACACACUGACAUACAGAUACACCCUCACCUCUGCCUUUAACACUGCAGCACCGCUCCAAACAAGCACCUCGAGGAGGACUCGCCCCAAACCAUGCUAUAGGAGUCAAUUCAAGGUACUAAUUCACACCUAUAAAGCACUG